rnacentral:lncRNA from 1 species
GUCCCUGUGGCUCACAGAUUACUACAACACCAGUUGCAGGUACAGGUAAAGGAAUACUUUGACGCGAGCGCGUUGAUUGUUCAUUUGGAGUUUCUUCUUCUUCAUCGUCGGUCUAGGAUGGGUUCUAGACCGGCAGCCUGGGAUAGCAAGGAUGGACGUCGUUCUUUUAUCGUUUGUUUUCGUCCGUAGACGGACCUUGCUCUUCUUCAUAAUGAUUGUAUGAUUUGUACUGAUGUGACUG